rnacentral:rRNA from 1 species
AGUGAACGCUGGCGGUAGGCCUAACACAUGCAAGUCGAACGGCAGCACAGUAAUAGCUUGCUCUUACGGGUGGCGAGUGGCGGACGGGUGAGGAGUACAUCGGACUCUACUUUUUCGUGGGGGAUAACGUAGGGAAACUUACGCUAAUACCGCAUCCCCCCUACGGUUGAAAGCAGGGGAACUUCGGACCUUGCGCGAUUGAAUGAGCCGAUGUCGGAUUGGCUAGUUGGCGGGUUAAAGACCCACCCAGUCGCCGAUCCGUAGCCUGUGUGAGAGGCGGAUCGGCGACAUGAGAGCGGGAACACGGUCCAGGCUCCUACGAGACGCAGCAGACGGCAAUAUGAGACAAGGGGCGCAAGCCUGAUCCAGCCAUACCGCGUCUGUGAAGAAGGCGCUCGGGGUGUAAAGCCCUUUUGUUGGGAAAGAAAAGCAGCAGGUUAAGACCCAGCUGUUCUGACGGUACCAAAAAAAUAAGCACCGGCUAACUUCGUG